UACGGGGGGAGCAAGCGUUGUUCGGAAUUACUGGGCGUAAAGGGCUCGUAGGCGGCCAACUAAGUCAGACGUGAAAUCCCUGGGCUCAACCCAGGAACUGCGUCCGAUACUGGUUGGCUUGAAUCCGGGAGAGGGAUGUGGAAUUCCAGGUGUAGCGGUGAAAUGCGUAGAUAUCUGGAGGAACACCGGUGGCGAAGGCGGCAUCCUGGACCGGUAUUGACGCUGAGGCGCGAAAGCCAGGGGAGCAAACGGG
rnacentral:rRNA from 1 species